rnacentral:rRNA from 1 species
UACGUAGGCAGCGAGCGUUGUUCGGAGUUACUGGGCGUAAAGGGUGUGUAGGCGGUUCUUUAAGUUUGGUGUGAAAUCUCCCGGCUCAACCGGGAGGGUGCGCCGAAUACUGAGGGACUAGAGUAUGGGAUGGGAAAGUGGAAUUCCUGGUGUAGCGGUGAAAUGCGUAGAUAUCAGGAGGAACACCUGUGGUGUAGACGGCUUUCUGGACCAUAACUGACGCUGAGACACGAAAGCGUGGGUAGCGAACAGG